AACGAACGCUGGCGGCAUGCCUAACACAUGCAAGUCGAACGAGACCUUCGGGUCUAGUGGCGCACGGGUGCGUAACGCGUGGGAACCUGCCCUUAGGUUCGGAAUAACUCCCCGAAAGGGGUGCUAAUACCGGCUAAUGUCUUCGGACCAAAGAUUUAUCGCCUUUGGAUGGGCCCGCGUUGGAUUAGCUAGUUGGUAGGGUAAAAGCCUACCAAGGCGACGAUCCAUAGCUGGUCUGAGAGGAUGAUCAGCCACACUGGGACUGAGACACGGCCCAGACUCCUACGGGAGGCAGCAGUGGGGAAUAUUGGACAAUGGGCGAAAGCCUGAGCCAGCAAGGCCGCGGGAGUGAUGAAGGCCUUAGGGUUGUAAAGCUCUUUUACCCGGGAUGAUAAUGACAGUACCGGGAGAAUAAGCUCCGGCUAACUCCGUG
rnacentral:rRNA from 1 species